rnacentral:misc_RNA from 1 species
AAGUCGUAACAAGGUUUCCGUAGGUGAACCUGCGGAAGGAUCAUUACAGAGUGCGAGGCUCAGUCGUGGCGUCUGCUGCGUGCUGGGCCGACCCUCCCACCCGUGUCGAUUUGUAUCUUGUUGCUUUGGCGGGCCGGGCUACGUCGUCGCUGUCCGCAGGGACACGCGUCGGCCGCCCACCGGUUUCGACUGGAGCGCGCGCGCCAAAGACCCAACCAAAACUCAUGUAGUCUGUGUCGUCUUAGCUUUAUAAUGAAAAUUGAUAAAACUUUCAACAACGGAUCUCUUGGCUCUG